UGAACUUUUCGACAUCCUCAAAUGUUAUUGUGUUGAUGAUUAUUUUCAAGGACGAGAAACCUUAGACUUUGGAACUGCCGUUUCUUGUUAAUGGUUGUCUUGCUUGAUUCACCAACUUGAUGUGGAUCUGUUCAAGGAAACUAUCUAGGAGCUUGCCUUUACCCAAACACCAUAAUACCAGUUGAAAAAACAAUAGGAAACUCAGACGAUUUGCUCCCCGUAACUAAUUUUCCAGACUGCAGUUUGCAUCCUUCACUAAGCAAGCAAAAUAGAGGGAAAGGUCCACAAUCAUUUGGGGGAAAGGUCCACAUCAUUUGGGUUGUUGGGGUUGGGGUGUUAAACACUUGCAGUGUCCUGUGGAAAACCUUUUGAGUACAGAAUUGGUUUUCGCCAAAGAAACCUCAAGAAUCAGCUCAUUGGAGAGAGCUUAGAGUCCUUUUUUGUUUCUAUUUUUUUGAAACCAAAAUCUUUGCACGCUUCCUCAAAGGUCAAGACAUACAUUUUCAGCUCAAAAGUCAAAAUAGCUCCAUUCCCAUUUCUUUCUUUUCCUUCUUAAACACUCAAAAAGCUUAGGCUACUGGGUCUCUAAAGUCAAAUCCUUUAUUUUGGACUUGAUAGCUUGAUCUUUUGGUGGCAAUAAAAUUGUUGAGACAAACCGGGCAAGCAAAGUUAUGAAGAUGAGAUGGGGUCAACUGUGAUGACGAUAAGGGUGUGGCAAGCAUCAUGCUCAAUUUGCUCAAAAUUACCCCGGAAAUGGACACAAGAGACGCACGCAUUGACACUGUAUUUCCAGUAUGAGCUUGCCUCGCCCCAUACCCAGUGUCUUUUAACAAGAGUCAAUCCUUGUGCCAUUUAAAGAUAGCUUUGUUGGCACAUGCACAAUUUGUUGUUGCCAAAGAUGUCACAAAUGUUGAUUAGACCCGUGAAAUCUUCCAUUCCAACCGUGAUAAUAAGAACUCAUUAAAACAUUAACAGGAUAAUUAAAGCCUGUUUCACACGUGAAGCAAGAGCUGAAGCAAACGAAGUAGGCAUGCGCAGUCAAAACUUGUUGGAUGAAGCAAGGAAUGAAGCAAAAUGUGAAGUAAGCCGUUUACACGCGCAAGCAAAUUAAAAAAAUCUGAUGUAAAAGUAUAGACUGCCUUGAUCGGCUUCAGACAAUCAUAAAUAAACAGUUACGUGGUCAGAGAUAUAAACAGAAUUGGACGCAGAAGUUUUACUUUCAUUAAGAUCUUGAAACUAGAACGUAAAAUACGUAGACGAAGCAGUUACAGACGAAAACAGCCCCGGCGGGCUCAAUGGGUUGGUCCAAUGUAUACCAUGUAUUCCUGAAAGUAGAAACUGGCUGGACCCUAACCUUUGAUUCUGGGUUGCGUAAAAUGUGCUCUUUUCUCAGACUUUGUAACCCUAUUCACUGGGAAUGAUCAAGCUCGAGCAAGUAAUUUCAAAACCAAUUCGUGUAAGAACCAUUCUAUUUCUUAAACUUAGUCGAAAGGUAUACUUAAGAGCAGAGUUCACUAAAUUUGAUUUCAAAAACGAUCCCUUGUGACAGCUGUACAACUAUAAAUGCAACAUACAUUUGGAACUCAGAAGUGGCUUACUUGCGUGCAAAGCCAAGAAAUACCAAUUGAUGUCUUUUCAUCGUUAAUUUUUUGGAACCACUAUGAAAUGAAAAUCAAAGAUUGCACAUUUUCAGGUGGUAAGAAUUCACAAAUCCUGACAGUGCUUACAAAGGUAAAGGUAGCAAAAUACCGAUAAAAUUAAACCUUGGAAUAUGUCCAGGGAACAUUCUUGUUUUGUGUACCUACAAGUGGUUCACUUUGAUCAGCACUAAGAACCAAGAUCCAUCCAUGAAUUAAAUGUGUCAGAUUCUCCGGAUCCGCGACGAAUAGGGCGUAAUUAAGGUUGACAACCGAUUCCCGUCGAUUGAAGGGUGCUCUUCCUAGUGGGCUGGGUCCAACUUCUUGCAAUGGUGGGAAAAAGGCAGGAAGGGGGCUUGUCCGAAAUUUCUCCCACUUUAAUAUACUUGAAAUUUGGUAGUGAAUACAAUAAUUUGCACCAAACCACCAAAUAGUUUACAAGUUAUCCAAAUGAACACGUAUCAGUUGGUCUUUAUAUUGCGGAUUAUAUAUAAAGGUCCUUGGUGUUCUCCAGACAUUCGCGAUAAAAUACUAACUUCCUUUAACAACACUGGGGCUUAAUGUUGUUGAAAUUCGAAAAAAAAUAUGAAUAAUUGCCAGGCUGUGUAUUCAGAGCAAAAAAGGUUGUAUGGUGCUAGCAUUUUUCGCUUUCAAAUAUAUUUUCAUAAAAAAGAAAUAGCAAGAAUUUGCACUUUCCUUCUCGAUUCUUCUCAAAUUUAAGAAAUAUGGCUCAGAAAACAAAGGGGCCCAUGCUAUUUACAAACUACUCAAAGCCUUAUACUAAUGUCGAUAGAUUUCUUUUGCUCCUAGGAGAUUGGACUUAGUGUGAACCAUUUGAUGCUGUUUAUUAUUUUUAGAUAUUUGCUUACAACUUACAACAGUUUUUACACGGAGAGCUUCCUCACCUGACAAGAUUCAGAGUGUAAAAGGCGCGAAGAAUUGUGAAGUAAAGUUGUAGAAUGGAAAGGGCCAGCCACAAAAAGCAACAAAUGACUGUUACUGUUUUUGAUUAAAGUCACUAUAACCUGUCAGUCAACCGUUCAACGUUAACAACAGACUUUGAAACGCGUUUAUGAUAAAAAACAUCGAGAAGCAGCCGAUUGAAUUGAGCUGAACCGAUUAAGUUACUUAUUAUAACAAUGUUCUGUUUGUUCCGUUGCGCUAGCCGGCAAUUUACAUUAACGAUAUUUACAGUAAAAUUAGGACUGGGACCGACCUAGAGGCCAUGUUAGUUUUUCGUGAUCGAGUGUUGUGUUAUCGUUAGAAAUAGAGAAGUAAUGGAACUUUUUGCGUUUUUACUCAAGUGACGGUGUGCCUUGACAAUUUCGGUACAUCUGGUGACCCUGCAAUCGAUUAGAGAAGGUGUACCUUGACAAGCUUUAACAAAUUCGGUACAGAGCCUCCUGAAGAAAAAACAUAAUAUUUGCAAGUUAGUGAGCAGGAGCAAUGCAAACCGACGAAACACGGUAAAACAGAAACAGAAAAUGACUCACAGAAUGAAAAUAUCAAAAUGAAACAGGCAGUGAGAAAUGGACAUCUUUCCUGCUUGCCUUUUUUUGUAUGUGUGUGUGCAAAGUAUAGAGAAUCUUGGGUAGGGCUUACAAAGUGAUGUUCCUUCAGGCACAAUUGACAAUAAAAAAUUCACUGACAGGAUAAAGAACUGAAUUUCAUUGCAUUCUCAUUUAGCUUACAGCUUUACUUCUGCUUCGUUUACAGGAUUAUCAACUAUUUCAAUGCUUGAGAGUCCUAUCCGAAAAAUUUUGCUUGGUUCACUGGGGGUUUGCCAGGGAAAUCUCCAUCUUGCUUGAAAUACAAAUUGAUCAUUUUUUUGUCUUCUUCGUUAUCCCAGUCAAGUUUACGGAAUGAAUAUGAUCCAGCAUCAAUAUUCCAAUCCUCGUUUAACUGCAACAGAGGGAUAAGAAACAUACAACAAGAUUAGUUUAAGUACAUUUUUUGGUUGUCUUCAUCAUUUCAGAACAGAAAAGUGAAAAAAAAACAAUACAGGUGUUAGUGCUUGAGUAAGAAAAAUACACUUUAGGAAGAAAAUUUAAAAAAACCAUGAUAGUAUAGCACUCUUGAAAGGCUACAAUGCAAGAAACAGUAAACAACUAUUUGUCCGAAACAGGUAUUAUCUCAUAAUAUCUGGAAAUGUUAAGUAGAGCAUAGGUACUGCUUCAAACCUUUUGUGAGAUUGCAAUAAAUUCUUAUUCGGAAAACACAUAUUUCAAGCUUGCAACUAAACUCUGAAGCCUCCAACUAGACUUUUAAACACUAAGAGUCCUAAAAUCUGAAAACAUGAGAAGACCAAAAGAACAAACAGUCUUACGCUGAAUGCAAGUUCCUGGCCCCUGAAAAUCCAAAGACCGCCAAUCAUGAUAUUACCAUCUUUACCGAAUACACACAUACUUCCAAAGGCAUUUUUAUGGAGCUUGUCAAGACGCUGCAACAUUCCUGACACAAGGUUGCAAGCCAUGAAAAUUUUUUUCAGUUCGUCGUUGUAAUUAUACU